ensembl:lncRNA MIR924HG MIR924 host gene
AAUUCUUCUUUUCCAGGGCACCGUUGAGCUGUUGCAACUGUUCUGCUGGAGCCUUAUGUAUGUGGUUGAAACCACCUGUACUACUGGAAUGAAAGCACCUUUACAGAAGAGGCAAUGCAAGUUGUAUUCAUCACAUGUGUAGAAUGAAUUAAGAUUUAUGCCAGUUGCAAAGAAGAAUAUUGGCUCACUAUUUUUCCUCUGGGCAUGUGGAAAUGUAAAUCAGUCCAUGUUACUCACCUCGGAGAAGCAGAAGUACGAUUUACUAUUGUUGCUUGCUUACUUACUCUUAUCAAUUUCUAUGAGAGAGUUGUACUGCGACAUUAGCUCUUUUGACUAGAUGUGAUGACAGACUGUCUUUGGUCCAUUCUCUUUUAUUGCCUUGGAAGAGAAUAAAUGAGGAGUAGUUCUCACCCAUUGCAGCUGAGGCAUCACACCUGUAAUGGGAUUAACAAGAUGAUAAUAUAUCUUUUGCCAAGACCACAUACUAGCAGGUAAGUCAACUGAUGCUGCAUGUCAUUCAAACCCCUGCAUUCAUGUCUGCAAUGGUCCUUUGCUUACUGGAAAUGGACAGAUCUUUUGCAAAGUCCUCACAUAAUCUUAAUUACUACAUAGAAACACUAAACAUCGAACAAAAUCAAAA